AACGAACGCUGGCGGCAUGCCUAACACAUGCAAGUCGAACGAGACCUUCGGGUCUAGUGGCGCACGGGUGCGUAACGCGUGGGAACCUGCCCUUAGGUCCGGAAUAACUCCCCGAAAGGGGUGCUAAUACCGGAUAAUGUCUUCGGACCAAAGAUUUAUCGCCUUUGGAUGGGCCCGCGUUGGAUUAGCUAGUUGGUAGGGUAAAAGCCUACCAAGGCGACGAUCCAUAGCUGGUUUGAGAGGAUGAUCAGCCACACUGGGACUGAGACACGGCCCAGACUCCUACGGGAGGCAGCAGUGGGGAAUAUUGGACAAUGGGCGAAAGCCUGAUCCAGCAAUGCCGCGUGAGUGAUGAAGGCCUUAGGGUUGUAAAGCUCUUUUACCCGGGAUGAUAAUGACAGUACCGGGAGAAUAAGCUCCGGCUAACUCCGUG
rnacentral:rRNA from 1 species